rnacentral:tRNA from 1 species
UGCUGUGGUACGCAAACCGGCAAAGCGGCGAAUUUCAAACGUUCGUGUUUGAGGGUUCGACUCCCUCCCGCAGUAU